UCCGGAUUAGCUCAGUGGUAGAGCAACCGGCUGUUAACCGGUUGGUCGCAGGUUCGAAUCCUGCAUCCGGAGCCA
rnacentral:tRNA from 1 species